rnacentral:rRNA from 1 species
UACACAACCAACCGACCCAGUUGGCAAAGCACCACGCACGCGUGGGACAGGGACGUGCGGCGCACGUGCAGUGCGGUAAACGCCCUCUAGCACGCUCUCGGUGCGGGUAACCAGUGGCGGGGCGUGUUUGGGAUGGGAAAGGUCGUGAGGGUUUAGCUACGUCGGCGGAGGUGAGAGGGAGAGAAGGAGGGGGUUGCGCGGCCGGCGAAGGUGGACGGUAUGGCGGAGGGGCGACGGCGGUACCGGAGAAGUCCUCCGUGCGGGGAGGUAUCACGCUUCGUCCUCUGGUCCUAGGCUUACUCCUUCUCCUCUAGGCCCGCGGGGUUGCCACCUAGUUAGCUACGCUCCACUGCUGCUCGAGGAGGCCUGCACCCCCUCGUCGGUCCGACCUCUAGGUCAGCCGCGUAAGGGGUGACCCAACCCCUCUGCGGCUGUUAUCCCCGUUCCCCGUAGACCCAGCUUCGACGUCGCGAGGCCAGGGGUUCGGCGGAGGUCCGAGCGAAGGAGGAGGUAGGAGGGCGUAGAGUAGGUAGAGCUGCCUAUGCUCCGCACGUCCGUACCUCAGCUCCAAGAGGCCGCCGCCGUCCUUGGAGGUCCGUCUCUCGCUGGGGUACCUAGGCAGGGACGUCCUCUCUUCCUUCCUCUCCUCUGUACGGUACCUCUACCCUACUCUUGCAGGUACCGGUCGGUUAGCUGGGGGUGGAGGCCACGCGCUGGGGUACUUCCUAAAACGCGACGGCGGAAGAAAGCGGCCAGGUACGGGACCUUCUCGCUGUGGUCGGUCCGUAACAUACCCUUACUUCGUUUUUCGUACUUCUUUUAUCUCGUCCAGCACACAGUAGCACGUACAUCAGAUGGAAGGUAACCGCAAUGACGUGGACCAAUAGAUGUCUCCUUCCGUUCCUAUUGAUCUAAUUUGUAAAGUGUUCUGGGAGGGUUAAUGUCCGUGUUUGAGGAAAGUUCUAUAAUGUUCACACCAACUAAUGCCCUCUAACAGUUUACUUUUCUUCGAUAUAGGAAAUAUAAAUAGAUCUACAAAUUAAUCGACGUGUUGGUAUGCACUAAGAUAUUCCUUUGAUAAAUAGGACUACUAGAACUAUAGGUUAGUACAUAAUGUCAUAAUCAUAUCCGACAUUAAAAACCGAUCCUUAGAUAUACAUGUCAAUACAUACUUACCCGAUACUAAGAAAAAAGGAAGACUCAUCUAAGAAAAAAAUAAGUGAGGGACACUUUAUUAAAGUCUCGAUGACACAACAUCAUUAAUAAACCGUGUAGGCAUUGAGUUGGUCAAAUACGCACAACUAAAUCACACAUAAACCAAGGUUUCACUUGUUUAAUAACCGGAAGCGAUCCGUUCCUAUCCACAAACCAUGGUUUCUUUUUAAUUGAAACAGUUCGAUUGAUCGUGUGUACCAGACUUCGUCGAUGAAAAAUAUAGGGACCUGAUAUCUAUAAUGUACGUAGUCAUGAACUACGUAGAUACUAUACGAAAACGAUAAAUAACACCGGGAAUUACUGAUGAGACGACACUUGGGUCACAAAUCCAACGUCCGAGUUGAUAUAUAGGUACCUACAAUGGGUAUACCGUUAGAUAUUAAGAUAUACUUAAAACAUCGAUCGAACUUCGCUUACACCACUAGUUCCGAGAUUAGACGUAAGAAAUAAACGUACUUACAGCACACGUCUAUCCAUGAUUGGUACCUUAUAAAAGGAGUAACUGUUGUUCAUGAGGCUAUUGUUAAAUAUUUUUAACUAUAUUAAAGUGUUCAUAUGUCUAUCGGCUGUUCCGUCGUUACGAUAACAAGUUUACAUCAACUCAACUCGAAAUCCACAAAGUCAUUGUCACAACGCACGCACGAAAUAAACAAACAAAGCCAAAGAAUACGACAAAUAAAGUAAAUAUGACGAAGGACACGAUCCUACACGGAACGACACAGUAAACACUAGGGUAAAAAUCUGGGACCACCGAGUCAAAACAAACGGGCGAGAAAGUACGCACACACUCUAAUAACUGCUACCCCAACACGAACAACCCCACCUCGGUUUAGUCACAGAGGGACGGCGGUCAAUCCCACAAGAAGACCCGUUGACCGCCAUGCCCCCGUGACAGGCGGAUACUCGUCCGACGAAACGUUCGAUAUCUUAAGAAUGUCCUUGCUACAUUUAGUACAACGACAACUAAUCCUACUAAGUAUAUGUUGAACCCAGAUAUAAAAAUAAUCGGACUAAUCCCCUCUCUCUCUCCGUCCCUCCACGGAUCCUGCUCAUCCUUCCGAGACCCGUUUUAAAACGGCUAGGACACAUUCAAAACCAAACGGGUCAAUUUGCACAUGUGAAGUACAGUAUAUCGUAUUAUUAUCGUCUACUAUUUGAUAGCAACAGUAUAAUAACUUGAACUAUAGGACAAACUUGAUCUGUCUAUUAAAACUGUUCUAAAAUAGGAUCGCAUUUGUACGACAGUAUCACAGUUGUGUUAUUAUUAUCUUUUUGGAAAAGUUUUAAGUCCACUCCACUUCGUUCGUUCGUGGAGGGGCACAAAAUAUACAUUCGUUAGUUGGGGGGGGGGGGCGCACAACGAAACGGGCUGGUAACAAGCAAAUUUGGAAAGAAGACAUAAUCGCGAUGACCUAUUGGCAGUAACUAGAUGGUUUUUCCUUAGUAUUGUGAUGUCCAGUACCUUUUAUCUAUAUCAAUCGUGUAUUAGGACGUUCAAAGUGGAUUAUACGUGUACAGCAAAGUCAAAAGGUUUUAUAUAUGGUAACUCUUUCAAUGACCUACGUCACGUCUAAGAUCCUAUAAUUGUAAACGUCGGUAUGCAACCAAAGUUACCACUGUAUAAAAACAGUUAGGGUGUCUCUAUUAAAUUAAGUUCUGAUCGUUUAUGUCAAUUCAAAUUUGACAAAGGAAACUACUUUAAGAUUACAAAAAGGUUUGUUUCAUACUACUUGAAUUUUAGGUAUUAUACUUCGACACAGACGACGUAGUCAUGUCAACUACGAAUCCCUGAUUAAGAAAUAUAAAGGACUACAUAAUCAACUCUAGCUCCUCUCUCGUUCGGUAACGUCUCCACUCCCCUAUGCUCCCACCCGUCUCCAGUCCGUAACGAUUGUCUAAACGCCGCCUCACCCUCUCCACUACGGCCGGCCGGCUGCGGAGUGGUGGCCGAGGACAAACCGCCACCGUUUCUCUUCCCACGGCUCCUACACAACGAGAUACGUACCGACAACUUCAUGUAGUAGCAAUACUACACAUACCAAAGAGAUAAAAGUCGGGAUGACGAGAUCUCGGGUUUAGGGUACUGGUACGGGGGUGGAGAGGAAGCAACUUACUUCCCUCAGACCAACGAUUUUUCACUCAAAAGAAUUAGUCAUACAUACCAGGGAGACGUAUACGGUAAAGAAGUAUAAAUUCUCCGGGAGUUCGAAACAGUCAAAAGAUUAUCUAUACCUUAAAAUUAAACUAUCAGGGUUGUUGCCACCCAUGACUACCUCGAUAGAUAAUAAAUAACAAUUAAACAUUAUGAAAACAGUCGAAGAUCGUACAGCAACGAGAUGGUCUCACGUUAAAAGAGACGCACCGUAUGUGGUCAAUGGUAAUCAACUAUACAAACAACUUCAAAAUAACGUUCAAUUUAUUUACACAUCACACCGUAUGACUAAUAAUAUCAAACUAUUACAGUCCGCGGCUACCUAAAUAUCUAUACAUUUAUUUUAUGGAAAUUCAUUUUGAUUCGUAAAUUAAUAACAAGACAAUACAAUAACUAAAGUGGCCGAAAUACAGCCGGCUAAUCAAGACUUCCUAAGGUGUAGCCGAUUAAAUCUAAUACAAUGAUCUCAUAAUCUUCUUCAAGGACUAUAUACAUAAAUCUCUUAAACGACUCUAAACUAUGUUUUAUAACUACUGGUCCGUAAUAUGACGCGUAUUCGUGUUAAAAAAUCAAAAAGAAAAAUAACAACGUCGUCGAAAAGAUAUCGUUAUCGGUUUAUCACACUGUAUUGUGAUAAGGUAAAAGUAUCCGGUAUUGUGUAGAAAUGUACAUUCAAACAAGAGAUCUAUCAAGAUAAAGGUUCUAAAAGUAUAGUAUAAACAGCACCCUAGAUUGACGAAAUGGUAUAAAAGGACCACACCUGCUACAAUAUCUCACUCGAUGGUAGUGAAGAGUAAUGACUGACAUUAGUUAUAUAUACACAAAUACGGUAUUUUCUACCUAUAAACAACUUCGGUAACAGCACAGUACAUUAAUGAACGUCUAGUUGAUAUAUCAAAACAAGCCUAACAUUUCACCUUUGCUAUUUUGGGAUGUUGAGUACACACUAACAGUAAACUAAUAAAUGAAGGAGUUCAUCAUACCUAUACCACGACGGUCCUAUAAUUCAUAUAAGUACUUCAACAUAUUUGGUGCAAGACACUAAGUGAAGACAAUACGUAUAAAUGAAAGGUCAAAAUCCUGACUUUAGGUAGGUAACAUUACUUAAACCAACAUACCCGUAAUGGAUAAACUGAAUCCGAACGAAGUAGUGUACAUCUGGCGAAAAGAAAAG